rnacentral:rRNA from 1 species
UGGGGAAUUUUGGACAAUGGGCGAAAGCCUGAUCCAGCAAUGCCGCGUGAGUGAAGAAGGCCUUCGGGUUGUAAAGCUCUUUUGUCAGGGAAGAAACGGUGAGGGCUAAUAUCCCUUGCUAAUGACGGUACCUGAAGAAUAAGCACCGGCUAACUACGUGCCAGCAGCCGCGGUAAUACGUAGGGUGCAAGCGUUAAUCGGAAUUACUGGGCGUAAAGCGUGCGCAGGCGGGUUUGUAAGGCUGAUGUGAAAGCCCCGGGCUCAACCUGGGAAUUGCAUUGGAGACUGCAAGGCUAGAAUCUGGCAGAGGGGGGUAGAAUUCCACGUGUAGCAGUGAAAUGCGUAGAUAUGUGGAGGAACACCGAUGGCGAAGGCAGCCCCCUGGGUCAAGAUUGACGCUCAUGCACGAAAGCGUGGGGAGCAAACA